GAUGAACGCUGGCGGCGUGCCUAAUACAUGCAAGUCGAGCGAACGGACGAGAAGCUUGCUUCUCUGAUGUUAGCGGCGGACGGGUGAGUAACACGUGGAUAACCUACCUAUAAGACUGGGAUAACUUCGGGAAACCGGAGCUAAUACCGGAUAAUAUUUUGAACCGCAUGGUUCAACAGUGAAAGACGGUCUUGCUGUCACUUAUAGAUGGAUCCGCGCUGCAUUAGCUAGUUGGUAAGGUAACGGCUUACCAAGGCAACGAUGCAUAGCCGACCUGAGAGGGUGAUCGGCCACACUGGAACUGAGACACGGUCCAGACUCCUACGGGAGGCAGCAGUAGGGAAUCUUCCGCAAUGGGCGAAAGCCUGACGGAGCAACGCCGCGUGAGUGAUGAAGGUCUUCGGAUCGUAAAACUCUGUUAUUAGGGAAGAACAGAUGUGUAAGUAACUGUGCACAUCUUGACGGUACCUAAUCAGAAAGCCACGGCUAACUACGUG
rnacentral:rRNA from 1 species